rnacentral:tRNA from 1 species
UGAGGUUUAGCUCAGAAAUAGAGCACUUGUCUCACACGCAUGAGGCCCUGGGUUCAAUCCCAGAACCAUGC